rnacentral:rRNA from 1 species
UACGUAGGGGCAAGCGUUGUCCGGAUUAUUGGGCGUAAAGGGCGCGUAGGCGGUUUCUUAAGUUUGGAGUGACAGUGGGUGGCUUAACUACCCAAGGCCUCUGAAAACUGGGGAACUUGAGGACCAGAGAGGGACAUAGAAUCCGGGUGGAGUGGUGAAAUGCGUAGAUAUCCGGAGGAAUACCAAAGGCGAAGGCAGUGUCCUGGAGGGUGACUGACGCUGAGGCGCGAAAGCUAGGGGAGCGA